rnacentral:tRNA from 1 species
GGUGUAGCUCAGUGGUAGAGCACGUGCUUAGCAUUCACAAGGCCUUGGGUUCGAUCCCCAAUGCC